rnacentral:rRNA from 1 species
CGUUUAGGGGUAAACCUGAGAAACCCGAAAGGUCGAAGGGAGAAAUUCAUUCGCGUUUCGAAACGAAGGCUGGAGGUAUGUGAGUCGAGCGGCAAGUUACGCGCGUGCGUUCCAUACUACCAUCGAAUUCGUUGCGAACGUGUGCACUUUUCUCCUGGUAGGACGUCGCGAUCCGUCGGGCGUCGGUCUACGGUGCGCGGUGGAGCCCGCUCGAUAUUUUUUUGUCGAACGGACCCGCGUUAUCCUGGCCGACUCGCUCGACGGUACACUUUACGGUUAGAGGCCGCUCUAGAAGCGUCCGACUCGGCGCAAGCGCGCCAGAAUCGUCGGCGACCGGACCUAGUGCCGAUUCCGACAUCUGGUGACUGUUGGCAGCCGAAGUUCUUGGACUAGACCUCGUCGACCGAUCUGCGACGCUAUAGCUUUGGGUACUUUCAGGACCCGUCUUGAAACACGGACCAAGGAGUCUAGCAUGUGCGCGAGUCAUUGGGAAUCAUUAAACCUAAAGGCGCAAUGAAAGUGAAAAGGGAAGAAAAGCGUUCUCACGGCUAGUGCCGGCGCUUCGCAUUCCCGGGGCGUCUCCUUCUCAUCGCGAGACGAGGCGCACCAAGAGCGUACACGCUGGGACCCGAAAGAUGGUGAACUAUGCCUGGUC